UACGUAGGGGGCAAGCGUUGUCCGGAAUCAUUGGGCGUAAAGCGCGUGUAGGCGCUGGCUAAGUCCGCUCUGAAAGCCCGGGGCUCAACCCGGGAGGCGGGUGGAUACUGGUCAGCUCGAGUCGGAAGAGGAGUGUGGAAUUCCUGGUGUAGCGGUGAAAUGCGCAGAUAUCAGGAGGAACACCUAUUGCGAAGGCAGCUCGCUGGGACGUAACUGACGCUGAGACGCGAAAGCGUGGGGAGCAAACAGG
rnacentral:rRNA from 1 species